GAACACUGGGCUUGAGGGAGAGCGCUACGAUGUCAACGUAGGGGGCACAGGUUAAAUCCCUGUCGAGUCCACCA
rnacentral:tRNA from 1 species